rnacentral:rRNA from 2 species
UCUUGACAUCCACAGAACUUUCCAGAGAUGGAUUGGUGCCUUCGGGAACUGUGAGACAGGUGCUGCAUGGCUGUCGUCAGCUCGUGUUGUGAAAUGUUGGGUUAAGUCCCGCAACGAGCGCAACCCUUAUCCUUUGUUGCCAGCGAUUAGGUCGGGAACUCAAAGGAGACUGCCAGUGAUAAACUGGAGGAAGGUGGGGAUGACGUCAAGUCAUCAUGGCCCUUACGACCAGGGCUACACACGUGCUACAAUGGCGCAUACAAAGAGAAGCGACCUCGCGAGAGCAAGCGGACCUCAUAAAGUGCGUCGUAGUCCGGAUUGGAGUCUGCAACUCGACUCCAUGAAGUCGGAAUCGCUAGUAAUCGUGGAUCAGAAUGCCACGGUGAAUACGUUCCCGGGCCUUGUACACACCGCCCGUCACACCAUGGGAGUGGGUUGCAAAAGAAGUAGGUAGCUUAACCUUCGGGAGGGCGCUUACCACUUUGUGAUUCAUGACUGGGGUGAAGUCGUAACAAGGUAACCGUAGGGGAACCUGCGGUUGGA